GACGAACGCUGGCGGCGUGCGUAAUACAUGCAAGUCGAACGCUUCUUUCCUCCCGAGUGCUUGCACUCAAUUGGAAAGAGGAGUGGCGGACGGGUGAGUAACACGUGGGUAACCUACCCAUCAGAGGGGGAUAACACUUGGAAACAGGUGCUAAUACCGCAUAACAGUUUAUGCCGCAUGGCAUAAGAGUGAAAGGCGCUUUCGGGUGUCGCUGAUGGAUGGACCCGCGGUGCAUUAGCUAGUUGGUGAGGUAACGGCUCACCAAGGCCRCGAUGCAUAGCCGACCUGAGAGGGUGAUCGGCCACACUGGGACUGAGACACGGCCCAGACUCCUACGGGAGGCAGCAGUAGGGAAUCUUCGGCAAUGGACGAAAGUCUGACCGAGCAACGCCGCGUGAGUGAAGAAGGUUUUCGGAUCGUAAAACUCUGUUGUUAGAGAAGAACAAGGACGUUAGUAACUGAACGUCCCCUGACGGUAUCUAACCAGAAAGCCACGGCUAACUACGUGCCAGCAGCCGCGGUAAUACGUAGGUGGCAAGCGUUGUCCGGAUUUAUUGGGCGUAAAGCGAGCGCAGGCGGUUUCUUAAGUCUGAUGUGAAAGCCCCCGGCUCAACCGGGGAGGGUCAUUGGAAACUGGGAGACUUGAGUGCAGAAGAGGAGAGUGGAAUUCCAUGUGUAGCGGUGAAAUGCGUAGAUAUAUGGAGGAACACCAGUGGCGAAGGCGGCUCUCUGGUCUGUAACUGACGCUGAGGCUCGAAAGCGUGGGGAGCAAACAGG
rnacentral:rRNA from 1 species